GAGGCGUGAAAAGUGUGGAAU
rnacentral:misc_RNA from 1 species